rnacentral:misc_RNA from 1 species
GAUGAAGAACGCAGCGAAAUGCGAUAAGUAAUGUGAAUUGCAGAAUUCAGUGAAUCAUCGAAUCUUUGAACGCAUCUUGCGCUCCUUGGUAUUCUGAGGAGCAUGCCUGUUUGAGUGUCAUUAAAUUCUCAACUACACUGACUUUGAAUUGGUGUGGCUUGGAUUUGGGUGGGAAAAUUGUUGUGGGCUUUUUGUAUAGUCUGCUCCCCUGAAAUUGAUUAGCGGUACCUUUGUGGAACUGUCUACAGGUGUGAUAAUUAUCUACAUCCUAGACAUCUGCUGGAAUGCUGCUUUCUAAACCUUACUUGUAGUGACAAUCUUGACCUCAAAUCAGGUAGGACUACCCGCUGAACUUAAGCAUAUCAAUAAGCGGAGGA